GGUGUACACACAGGUUCUCACAGACACGCACAGGUGUACACACAGGUUCUCACAGACACACACAGGUGUACACACAGGUACUCACAGACACACACAGGUGUACACACAGGUUCUCACAGACAUACACAGGUGUACACACAGGUACUCACAGACACACACAGGUGUACACACAGGUUCUCACAGACACACACAGGUGUACACACAGGUUCUCACAGACACACACAGGUGUACAAACAGGUUCUCACAGACACAUACAGGUGUACAAACAGGUUCUCACAGACACAUACAGGUGUACAAACAGGUUCUCACAGACACAUACAGGUGUACACACAGGUUCUCACAGACACAUACAGGUGUACACACAGGUUCUCACAGACACACACAGGUGUACACACAGGUACUCACAGACACAUACAGGUGUACACACAGGUACUCACAGACACAUACAGGUGUACACACAGGUUCUCACAGACACAUACAGGUGUACACACAGGUUCUCACAGACACAUACAGGUGUACAAACAGGUUCUCACAGACACAUACAGGUGUACACACAGGUUCUCACAGACACACACUGACUUGAUCGGCUGUUGCUCCUUAACAUGCUCAUUGUGACUCGUACAGAUGUUGGUUGUUGUUUUCUCUCAUCAGCAGGUAUUGAAGCAGAUUA